CCUACAGGAGGCUGCAGUGGGGAAUAUUGCACAAUGGGCGCAAGCCUGAUGCAGCCAUGCCGCGUGUGUGAAGAAGGCCUUCGGGUUGUAAAGCACUUUCAGCGGGGAGGAAGGCGUUAAGGUUAAUAACCUUGUCGAUUGACGUUACCCGCAGAAGAAGCACCGGCUAACUCCGUGCCAGCAGCCGCGGUAAUACGGAGGGUGCAAGCGUUAAUCGGAAUUACUGGGCGUAAACCGCACGCAGGCGGUCUGUCAAGUCGGAUGUGAAAUCCCCGGGCUCAACCUGGGAACUGCAUUCGAAACUGGCAGGCUAGAGUCUUGUAGAGGGGGGUAGAAUUCCAGGUGUAGCGGUGAAAUGCGUAGAGAUCCGGAGGAAUACCGGUGGCGAAGGCGGCCCCCUGGACAAAGACUGACGCUCAGGUGCGAAAGCGUGGGGAGCAAACAGGAUUAGAUACCCUAGUAGUC
rnacentral:rRNA from 1 species